rnacentral:ncRNA from 1 species
ACGCUACGGACUUAAAAAUUUUGAGCCUUAGUAGAGAAAUCUACUAAGUGAUUGUUUUCACAUUCAGGGAAACCUAAGGUUUUAAAUAUAAGGUAAUCCUGAGCCAAAUUUUAAUUAUAAAAUAGGUGCAGAGACUCAAAGGAAACUAUCCUAACGAAAAAUUUUUUCUCUAUUUUUAUUAUUAAGCAUCUUAAAGUACGCAAUAUAAAAAUAUAUUUGAAAUAAUAAAAACUAUAUAAUAAAUGCUAAAUAUAAAUAGUAUUUAUUUAAAAUAAUUUUUAAUAGACGAGGAUAAAGAUAGAGUCCUUUUUUAUAAUCUAUAUAAUUUUUUAUUUAAAUAGAUUGAAAAAGAAAAUCCGUUGGCUUUAAUAGACCUUGAGGGUUCAAGUCCCUCUACCCCCA